CCUACGUGAGGCUGCAGUGGGGAAUAUUGGACAAUGGGCGAAAGCCUGAUCCAGCCAUGCCGCGUGUGUGAAGAAGGCCUUCGGGUUGUAAAGCACUUUCAGUGGGGAAGAAAGCCUUGGGGCUAAUACCCUCGAGGAAGGACAUCACCCACAGAAGAAGCACUGGCUAACUCCGUGCCAGCAGCCGCGGUAAUACGGAGGGUGCGAGCGUUAAUCGGAAUUACUGGGCGUAAAGCGCGCGUAGGCGGUCUGAUAAGCCGGUUGUGAAAGCCCCGGGCUCAACCUGGGAACGGCAUCCGGAACUGUCAGGCUAGAGUGCAGGAGAGGAAGGUAGAAUUCCCGGUGUAGCGGUGAAAUGCGUAGAGAUCGGGAGGAAUACCAGUGGCGAAGGCGGCCUUCUGGACUGACACUGACGCUGAGGUGCGAAAGCGUGGGUAGCAAACAGGAUUAGAUACCCUUGUAGUC
rnacentral:rRNA from 1 species